rnacentral:lncRNA from 1 species
UCCUCCCCAGGGGCAGGCUGCCCGCCACUUUGCUUUGAUAGCCUGGUCCGGGAGGCAAGUCCGCAGUCCCGCAGCUCCUCCGGCGCUGCACGCAUUCUUCCCGGCCAAGAAGGAACGCGGCGAGCUAACGGGAUCCAGAUGGCCCGGCCAUGCUAAGCAGAAGGAAAAGGACUGGCAAUGUGUGUUUGGGUCCCUGCUGCAGGAACUAGAGGCUGGGAGGAAAGUUUGGGCAGGCAAAUCUGGAUGCAUCCUUGGACAUAUUCCAUUAAGAGCGGUGCCACUCAACCUAUGGCGAUUAGAUGGCAGAGCCAGUGAUGAAGACUCUGGAGCCAUACCACCUGGGUUCUAAGCCCAGCUUUAUCUACUAGCUAUGUGACCCUCAGCAAGUCACUUCACUUCUCUGUGCCUUGGUUUCUUCAGCACACGUACGGUUGGGAUUAAAUAAGUGACUACAUGUCAAAUGCUUCUGGCAAAGGGUACAUGCUCUGAGUGUUGGUGAGCAUUGUUAUUAUCAGACAAAGGCCCGAGAGGCAUGAAAUAGUGUCCCUCUUCUCCCAGGGCAUCACAUCCCCUUCGUGAACAAAGACAUUAGUUGAGGCCAGUUUGAACAGAUUAAUGGGGUUCCUUUCAUUCAGCUUCCUAAAGGCAUAAAAUGACCCCUCCUGAGCUGGGGCCCUGCUUGUAAGGAUAA